AGAGAGAGAGUUGAGAGUAGAUGCUUUUAUUCUAUUCGACUCAUCAGGUUUAUAAAAACUAUAUCUAUAAUUAAUUAAUAUAUAAGUAGCAAUAUAUUACAUAUUACAUAUAACUGAUGAUACUAUAUUAGAAUUGAGCUAAUAAGUUUAACUCAACUCCAUAAACAACUAGACACAUGAGAAUUUUCUCAUACUUAUUAAUACCAUGAAGUCCAUACUCUUAACAGAUACAGGACUUCUACCAAAACAUGGCACACACUGCUAAAAUCACUCAGAAUUUAUACUUCUAUACAUAUCCUAAGUAAAACAACCUUUACAUUUUCCCCCCUCAGGGUUUAUUUGGCUACUUAAUUUUAAGUAAAAUAAAACUUCUAACAAUUAAUCAUACACAAAACAAAAAGAAAAAUAAGUUACAUGACUCACAAGGACUUUAAUUUGAGCUUACUAUUUUCUUGUUGGUGAAUCAACCUUAUUAGGCGGGUUUGACUACUUGUUCUUCAACACCUGGAUGAACCUGAUUACUCUUUCCAACACUAAAACUAGCAACUACCUUUCUCUCUUCACCACUCACCUCACCUCUUCUUUCUCUUUCCUCUUCCAUUCUCUUCAUCUUCUCUUCCUGCCUCUUCUUCAUCACAAAAAUGUGAGCUGAACUUGCCCCAAUUGAAGACAUUUUUUUCUCUGCAAAGACAAACAACAAUUACUAAACUAAAGGUAGGUUAAUUAGUAGGAUAUAUGUUUUUGCUGCCUAUAAAUGUUCUUGUAUGAAAUUUGCAUUGCCAAAGGUGGAAUUUAUAGGAGUUGAAGGUGAACAUAAGACACACAGCAUGUGUG
rnacentral:lncRNA from 1 species